UGACGGUGAUGGUGUUCCUCAUGAUG
rnacentral:piRNA from 1 species